rnacentral:rRNA from 1 species
CACGUAGGGGCCAAGCGUUGUCCGGAUUUAUUGGGCGUAAAGAGCUCGUAGGCGGUUGGGUAAGUCGGGUGUGAAAACUCCAGGCUCAACUUGGAGACGCCACCCGAUACUGCUCUGACUUGAGUUCGGUAGGGGAGUGGGGAAUUCCUGGUGUAGCGGUGAAAUGCGCAGAUAUCAGGAGGAACACCGGUGGCGAAGGCGCCACUCUGGGCCUGACCUGACGCUGAGGAGCGAAAGCGUGGGGAGCGAACAGG